GAUGAACGCUGGCGGCGUGCUUAAUACAUGCAAGUCGAGCGAAGCGCUUUAACGGAAUUCUCCGGAAGGAAGAUAAAGUGACUGAGCGGCGGACGGGUGAGUAACGCGUGGGUAACCUGCCUCAUACAGGGGGAUAACAGUUAGAAAUGGCUGCUAAUACCGCAUAAGCGCACAGGACCGCAUGGUCUGGUGUGAAAAACUCCGGUGGUAUGGGAUGGACCCGCGUUGGAUUAGGUAGUUGGUGGGGUAACGGCCUACCAAGCCGACGAUCUAUAGCCGGCCUGAGAGGGUGGACGGCCACAUUGGGACUGAGACACGGCCCAGACUCCUACGGGAGGCAGCAGUAGGGAAUAUUGCACAAUGGGGGAAACCCUGAUGCAGCGACGCCGCGUGAAGGAAGAAGUAUCUCGGUAUGUAAACUUCUAUCAGCAGGGAAGACAAUGACG
rnacentral:rRNA from 1 species